ensembl:lincRNA Gm10619 predicted gene 10619
GAGGGGAAGUGACGGAGGGAAAAGACAGACAACUAUUCACCUGGCCCCCGGGGCCUGCAAAGAAGAAGGGGUCAAAAGACAGAAACAGAAAAAAAUUAGCAAUGUUGGGUUCAAAGGAGCUGGGAGAAAACAAGACUGGAUGGGAAGAGACUUCCGUGGCCAAAUGCCUGUUCCACUAUGCAUAUGCUGAUGGUAUACUAGAUGCUAGAGUUUGUGGAACAGUCUUCGUUCAAGCUACAGUAUCCCAGGAGGCUCGCUUUGCCUCCAGGCUAAACUAAACGUCUGGCAGUUCCUGCAACAGGUCCACGUGACUGGAUAAUACAUGCAGAAGACCCACCUUUCGGAUCAUAGAUGACACUCUUUUCCACCCAGAAAACUCUUUUGGGCAAGAACCACCACCCUUGGCCUUGAGGAUCCAGCAAGAGGCAUCAGAGAAUCGGCUUCCUGUGUCUGAGCAUUUCCUUUUCCUCUCCUGGUACUAAAUCCCAAAUACCUCUAUCAAUCCUUUGUUCAAUGGAUUUGAAGUACUUGGGAACUAUAUUCAGGGAAUUGACAGCAUGCUGCUUUAUGAUGGAUGUUGGCUCCAACUUCAUAACUUUUUGACCAAAAAAAUCUACUAUGUAAAGUAGCCUCAAAUGUUUUCUCCUGACUUCAAGCUGACUUCUAUGUCACGAAUCCAGAGAGCACCAGGACUCGAUGGUGUCUGCAAUAGUGGUCACUACACAACUUCCAGCACAACACUGGGACAUACUGCCUGAUCUCCUGUGAGAAGAAGAUGGCAGAGCUGGUGUCAUGGGCUGCUUUCCCCAACAAAGGCAGUCUUCUGAGAGUUCCUGCAAUAAGGAAAAUAGAGAUCUGUGCAAGAAAAAGAUGCUUGGCCUGUGCCCACUCUGCUCUUUCCAGAAGCAGGGCAUGAACUGCAGAGUCCUCUCUACCUCCCGCUCCCUACAUUCCCUUUAUCCAGGGCCCCCACUCUCCCAAGCAAUAUUCACUAUCAACUUCAAACUCGUGCUUCGCAGAAAGAGCACUGCCUCAGGACACACUCCUGCCCCUUACUUAGCCAAUGUUCUCUGCACCUCUGGGGCCAAUCUACAGACCUGGUUGAGAUCACCAGCCACCCCUCCGGAUGUCCGGAUCCUGGCCUUGGACAGAAUCUAGUGCUUAGUAGGGACACAAAACUGUGCAUAGCACCCAGGCCUUCAAAGGCAGGCACCUAACUCUGCUAGUAGGUGAUCUGGGCACACUCAUUACCAAAGCCUAGAUUUCCUCAUUUGAAAGUAGACAUGAUAACACAGGCACUACUUUAUCCUGGCUGCCAUACACAGUAACACUACUGCAUGCCUGGCAGCGUCAAGAAGUACCUUAAAAGUCAUUAACAGAUCCAGUUCACAAUACCCAGGCAAGACAAACUCUCACAGAGGUCAAGAGAUGCAUCUAAAAUCACACAAGGUGGAAAGCUGUAGAGUCUGUAGAGUCUUACCUAGGGAAUCUAUCUUCACAGUCCCUGGGUCAGCUUACUGUGCGAAAUGAGUUUCUCUCUAACCCAUGUAAAGUUCUUCCUGCAUUGCCUGAAACACAGUAGAAGCUCAAUAAAUAGAGGCUAGCAUAUGCCAGGAUGCAGGUGCCUGAGUGAAGCGGACACCCGUCGUGACAGGGCUCUUGAAUAGAGGCUCAUUUCCUUCCAACUCCAGUAGCCUUAAAUCUAGUGAAUGCACUGUCCAUCUGGAUAGCCCAGCAGGCCCCCACACUGUGCCCAGAGGCCAGUGAACACCUGUAGAACACGGAACAGAGCACACCUCAAUUAUUAACUGCCUCACAUCCUCACAACAUGGGCUGCUCACUCCUCCCUGCCUUGUGAGAGCUGAGAAUUUCAAUAUCUCAGCAAUGUAUCGGGUAGAUGGACAGUCCAGAGGGAGCCUUAAUUCUUAGCAAUAUUCUAUGCCCCUGGCUCAGCUUCCAAAUGAAAAGGAGAUUAUUCCAUUUCAUUAGCUGCUUUAUGCAGUGCUUAUACUGUUCGUCACUUUCGUUUCCAAAACAUUUCCAGUAGUGAUGUCCCAUGCACAGUGAUUCCGGUUAAAGUAAGGCGAGAAGAGGACUUUGGUGCUUUACCGAGGCCUUGAGGGGACAAGGAGGGAGAAGAACUUCAGAUAAUGGCAUAGAUGUCAAGGCAGGCAGAAUCAGUAACAUCCUCGAGCUCUUGUAACUGGGAGAAAUGAGCAUCGUCGAGGAAAGCACCCAGUUUUGAAGGCGCAGCAAUCCCAACACUCAUCCACACACCCUCAAUAGGGGGAAAAGAAGACACCGACAAGUCUCACAAACCAGACUCCUCCAGGCAAAAGGCAAAAGCUCAUGUCACAAGCACCAUGUGGCCUUAUUAUUUUAAAGUCAACACAUUAGGUUUACAUCUUGGUGAGUGCAAAAUAAGCACAGAUGAGAUGUGAAAGAGCAGAGAAAAAUACAUUGCCAGUAUCAAGUCAUGUGAAGGCAUGAUUCUAAAAGUCAGACCUUUCCCAAACAGAGGAAGCACAGGAUUCUAUUGUGGAGGGGCAAUAUAUAUAUAUAUAUUCAUGUAGGGAUCAGCCCAUUCGUGAGUGUGCUCAGUUUAAAAGUCAAAAAUCUCAAAAAGAGCAGACAAACAUUUGGAGGCAUGCUUAGCUCAAAGUCAUGGAGUACUUCUGGUAGAUAUGUAGAAAAUUAAAAUGAUAAACAGGGAUGUCUCUGGGCAUGCUCAGUUUGCACCAUAAAGUCUUGUUUUGUUUUGUUUUUUUUCAGUAGAUCUCAGACCUUCACACAACUGACAUCGUGAUGGGAGUACCCUUCCUUCAGGUCAUGGAACCCAACACACAGGCAGCAGUAACACAUGCCAAGACAAGGAUAAAACCCCAUUUUUAUCAAAGUCCAUAGUUCUGGUAAAGUCUCUAAAUGUACUAACCUUGCUCUUUUGCCUUCUGUAGUUCCACUUCUGGCUAGCUGUUCUUGCUAAGUGAGGAUAUGGUUUUGUUUUUUAAAACUUUACCCUGAGAAAGGCAGAGGGCUACACUGGGAUCCUGCCGGCCAGCUAAUGAAGACUUUCUACUGCUUAAAACCUGUGUCCAAAAAGAGUCUUCUCUGGCAGAUAUCCUACAACAAUUUCAAAGCACUUUGUUUUGAUCUUACCUUUUGAAAUUACAUCAUUUCCCACUUCUGUUUCCUUCAUCCAACCCCUUUUAUGUAUUUUCCUCCUCAAAACUCAUUGCCUCUUUUUAAUUGUGUGUAUAUAUGUGUGUAUACAUACCUAAAUAUACCUUCUCAGUUCAU